CUUAUGCGUUGUUGGGUAGGGGAGCGUUCUGUAAGCCUGUGAAGGUGUGCUGUGAGGCAUGCUGGAGGUAUCAGAAGUGCGAAUGCUGACAUAAGUAACGAUAAAGCGGGUGAAAAGCCCGCUCGCCGGAAGACCAAGGGUUCCUGUCCAACGUUAAUCGGGGCAGGGUGAGUCGACCCCUAAGGCGAGGCCGAAAGGCGUAGUCGAUGGGAAACAGGUUAAUAUUCCUGUACUUGGUGUUACUGCGAAGGGGGGACGGAGAAGGCUAUGUUGGCCGGGCGACGGUUGUCCCGGUUUAAGCGUGUAGGCUGGUUUUCCAGGCAAAUCCGGAAAAUCAAGGCUGAGGCGUGAUGACGAGGCACUACGGUGCUGAAGCAACAAAUGCCCUGCUUCCAGGAAAAGCCUCUAAGCAUCAGGUAACAUCAAAUCGUACCCCAAACCGACACAGGUGGUCAGGUAGAGAAUACCAAGGCGCUUGAGAGAACUCGGGUGAAGGAACUAGGCAAAAUGGUGCCGUAACUUCGGGAGAAGGCACGCUGAUAUGUAGGUGAAGUCCCUCGCGGAUGGAGCUGAAAUCAGUCGAAGAUACCAGCUGGCUGCAACUGUUUAUUAAAAACACAGCACUGUGCAAACACGAAAGUGGACGUAUACGGUGUGACGCCUGCCCGGUGCCGGA
rnacentral:rRNA from 1 species